GUGGGGAAUAUUGGACAAUGGGCGAAAGCCUGAUCCAGCCAUGCCGCGUGUGUGAAGAAGGUCUUCGGAUUGUAAAGCACUUUAAGUUGGGAGGAAGGGCAGUAAGUUAAUACCUUGCUGUUUUGACGUUACCGACAGAAUAAGCACCGGCUAACUUCGUGCCAGCAGCCGCGGUAAUACGAAGGGUGCAAGCGUUAAUCGGAAUUACUGGGCGUAAAGCGCGCGUAGGUGGUUUUGUAAGCUGGAGGUGAAAUCCCCGGGCUCAACCUGGGAACUGCCUCCAAAACUGCAUGACUAGAGUACGGUAGAGGGUAGUGGAAUUUCCGGUGUAGCGGUGAAAUGCGUAGAUAUAGGAAGGAACACCAGUGGCGAAGGCGACUACCUGGACUGAUACUGACACUGAGGUGCGAAAGCGUGGGGAGCAAACAGGAUUAGAAACCCCAGUAGUCC
rnacentral:rRNA from 1 species